GCCAGUGUGGCGCAGUGGUUUGAGCAUUGGAUUAAGACCCUAGAAGCCAGGGUUCGAAUUCCAGCUUGGCCA